rnacentral:piRNA from 1 species
AACAAAUUUUCUUUUUCCUUCAAAG